UGGCUCAGGAUGAACGCUAGCGACAGGCCUAACACAUGCAAGUCGAGGGGCAGCACAAGGAGCAAUCUGAGGUGGCGACCGGCGCACGGGUGAGUAACACGUAUGCAACCUGCCUGUAAGCGGGGAAUAACCCGUUGAAAGACGGACUAAUACCGCAUAAUACUAAAUUACUGCAUGGUAAUUUAUUUAAACAUUUAUGGCUUACAGAUGGGCAUGCGCAUGAUUAGCUAGUUGGAGAGGUAACGGCUCCCCAAGGCAACGAUCAUUAGGGGUUCUGAGAGGAAGGUCCCCCACACUGGUACUGAGACACGGACCAGACUCCUACGGGAGGCAGCAGUGAGGAAUAUUGGUCAAUGGACGAGAGUCUGAACCAGCCAAGUCGCGUGCAGGAAGAAUGUCCUAUGGAUUGUAAACUGCUUUUGCAGGGGAAUAAAGUGCAUCACGUGUGAUGUUUUGUAUGUACUCUGCGAAUAAGGAUCGGCUAACUCCGUGCCAGCCGCCGC
rnacentral:rRNA from 1 species